UGAACAUGCUACAUGUUAGCAAAAUUUAGUAUGUUAACAGCAUUACGUACAUGGAUUUGAAAGAUGAAAAGGUGUUACAGGCAGCGAAAAAUAAACUUAAAGAGUUAAAGAAAAAUAUUACGCACUUACUUAAUUCUUACAUCUGUGCCAGCAAUGGCAGAUACAUCAGGAGGGGCAGAAAAACAUCUGGCUACUGCAACUCCUCUAGACCAUGGUAUCAGCACAGCGGUACCAAUACGUGAGCCACAAUGCCCGUUACCACAAUGCCUGCCACCGCACAGCCUGCCACCGCACAGCCUACCACCGGAAAGCCAACCACCGGAAAGCCUGCCACCGCAUUGCCACACCUGCACUGCCACUAGUCAGGGAAGCAAUAAAAAUCUUCGCCCUCCUACAUUUAUUUGUGGCUCAAGCUGUUGACUAUUUGGCAUCUCACAUCACAGAGCUUCUUCUAAUAAUUAUGGCUGGAGCUGCCAGCAUCCCGUUUUUCGCUGGCAUAUGUUAUGUAAAACAAAUUAAAUAAUCUUAGAAUUGUGUAACAAAGCAAUUAAAUACAAAAUAACUGAUUUACAUUUUUUUUUCAACAUCUUCAUAUAUUUAAGGAGGAAAAAUAAAAAAAAUUUGCAGCUAGAAAUGUCUCAUUGCCAAGGUGUCAAACAAGACACAUCUCAUGAAGGGUAAAGGCAAAGAGCCGUCUCAGGACAUUCACAACCUAAUUGUAACAAAACAUAACAAUGGCGAUGGUUACAGGCACAUUUCUAAGCUUCUGAAUGAUCCAGUGAGGCCACAGGGGCCAAAGAGGCUUUCUUGGGGGUGUAGCCUAAUAUAAAUAAACUCUACCUGCUGUCCAGGACAGAUAGCAAAAAGAUUCGCGAAAAGGUAUACCGAACACCAGAGGAGUGUUGUCUGGUGUAAACAGCUGGAACAGCUGCGUCAUCAGGAGUGACCGCGUGGCUGAUUUCCUUUUUCUCUCAUGUCUGGUUUUGAUACUAAUUUUACCUUAUCAAUUGUUAACACUACUGUUGCUGGUGGAAGAUUUCAUAAUUUUCUGUUUCUGCCACUUGCUUGGGCAUUGCUCAUGGUCCUGUUGAUCUUCUAUUAUUUCUGUCGCCGUAAUCCUAAAACUGUUCCUCCGGUGUUUUGUAGAUCACAGAGAAAUUCACGGAUUGUUAAAGAUGGGGAAUAGGUUGUGUAGGGAUCUGCUUACAUUUGUCUGUGUUGCUGCUGCAUUCCACCUGCUCCUCUAUGAGAGCAGGAGCUCGGACUUAGUCCCUGUACCCCUUGUAUGAACCACACUGUGAUAGAAACAGUGGCCAAGGGCCUACGGGUUGUCCCCAGACAAUUUAGACGAAUUGAAAAGUGUAUUUGUAAAAUCAAAAAGGGGAUAACAAUACAGUUAUAAGCUAAAAGGCAAAGAAAAAUGUUUAAGAGACUGAGAAACAGUAUGUUACAGAAGGUGCAGAGGAAGGUAGGAUUAGACGAGGUGCGAGUGUUUAUGUACUGUAAGUGAUACUAUGGUACAAGAAUGUAGAUCAGGAAUGGUUAAGAAGCAUGUAGAAUUGACCAAAAAGUUUGUUUAAACUGUAAAAAGUGUUAAUGCUUUGUUCAAGAAUAUACUGAAGGAGUCAGGGGGGACCACAUGGGUCCCCUGGACCAAUGAAUAGCGUAAUAAUAAUAGUGAAUACUUUCUUUUUUUAAACUGUUUGUAUAAAUAAAAAGUGUUAUAAUGAAUCGUUUCAAACUAGCAAAAAGAUAAGGAAAAUCCAUGUGGAAUUAAUUGAAUUUUAUGUGAAUAUAUUUGCAUAAUUUUAUUCUUUUAUACUUUUGUGUAUGUAUGAAGAGCCCUUUGUGUGUGUUCUAUCUGUUAUUAUGUUAUCUCUUGUAUAUGAUUCUUUGUGUUUGUAGUCUUUGUGUUAUCGGUUGUUACAAAAGAAGAGAAUGCUUGCAGAUGAUGUUGUGAAAUCUGUAAUACAGUCCACCUCAUCUCCCAUCUGCCUGGAGUCUGUGUACAUGUGUGAAUGUAUGAUGUUGUGAAACCUGUAAUGAUAUCUACUGUAUAUACAGCACUUUCUAUAUCUAACAUGCUAAAUUUUUAAGUUUAGCAUUGUAUUUCCAUAGUGAUGGAAGACAAAGUCAAACAUUUUCUCCUAUCUCUUAUGUGAAAUAUGAUAUACGUUUAAACUUUGUUGUAUAAAAAGAUAGAAUCUCGGCUCCUGUUAUACAAUGUUUGUUGUGGCCUCUACUAUAUUUUAUGUCCCAAAAUGUUGUCCAGGGACUAGCCAACGCCC